GCGGCGAGCGAAGCGGGAAAAGCUCAAAUUUGUAAUCUGGCGUCUACGACGUCCGAGUUGUAAUCUCGAGAAGUGUUUUCCGUGAUAGACCGCAUACAAGUCUCUUGGAACAGAGCGUCAUAGUGGUGAGAACCCAGUACACGAUGCGGAUGCCUAUUACUUUGUGAUACACUUUCGAAGAGUCGAGUUGUUUGGGAAUGCAGCUCAAAUUGGGUGGUAAAUUCCAUCUAAAGCUAAAUAUUGGCGAGAGACCGAUAGCGAACAAGUACCGUGAGGGAAAGAUGAAAAGCACUUUGGAAAGAGAGUUAACAGUACGUGAAAUUGUUGGAAGGGAAACACAUGCAGCCAGACUUGCUAUUCGGGGCAACUCGAUUGGCAGGCCCGCAUCAGUUUUUCGGGGCGGAAAAUCAUAGAGAGAAGGUAGCAAUUUCGGUUGUGUUAUAGCUCUUUAUUGGAUUCGCCCUGGGGGACUGAGGAACGCAGCGUGCUUUUAGCAUAAGCUUCGGCUUAUCCACGCUUAGGAUGCGGGUGUAAUGGCUGUAUAUGACCCGUCUUG
rnacentral:rRNA from 1 species